rnacentral:lncRNA from 1 species
GAAUUCCGGGCCGCCGCGGCCACGCCGGAGACACCAGGAGGGCGGGCGGCGCCCUGGGGCCAAGGUGGCCCCUCAGCUGCGACGGGCCGGGCUAGGUCGGGCCUGACUCCCGAGAAAGCAGGGCCGCCCGACAGCACCCGCCGGCCGCGUCCUGCCGGCCCGCGGCUCGGGGUCAUCCUGCCGCCCUUCCGCGAGCCCCUCCCUCCAGGGCCUCUUUCUCCGGAGCUCACCUCCCGACUCCGCGCCCGCAGCCUGCGCUUCAGCUCCAGCUCGGGUUCCGGGGCCUCGGAUCCCAGCGACUCCCUCACAGCUGCGCUCCGCAGCGCAACCGAACUGCGGGCCCCGCCCUCGCGGCGUCCGGACCAACAGUGGGCGGUGCCGCACCGCCGCCAGGUUUCCAUUGGACAGGGCAGCGGGGGGCGGUUCCCACAGACCGAGGCUCUCAAGGCAGUCUACUGCCGGGUCUCCUCCCCUUGCGGGGUUCCGGCAGACUGCCUGCCAGCGUUGUCUUCUUGUCUCUCUGUCCAUCCUCCUCCCAGUCGAGGUGCCCCCAAGUAA